rnacentral:lncRNA from 1 species
ACUGAGGCUCAGAAUGACAUGGAAGAUGAACAUCUGCGCCCCACCUCGUCCACAGCCGCCUGCUCCACUCAGUUGCUUCCUGGAGGCGCCAAGCUGCUGCACAGAGGAGGGUCACAGGAGAAGCUGAUCCGUCUGCGCUGGGGAGAGCUCGCCCAGAACCCUGCUGCCCGCGUGCGACGUCCCAGGGCGCGUGGGCCAUGGGUGUGAGCCAGGCCUUCCCCGUGUGACUCUCCACCCCAUCUGUCUGCUUCUUGCUCCUGCAAGUGUUCAUUUUAUUUCAUAUCGC